UUGGGGGGUGCUAUACAUGCAGUCGAGCGGACAGAUGGGAGCUUGCUCCCUGAUGUUAGCGGCGGACGGGUGAGUAACACGUGGGUAACCUGCCUGUAAGACUGGGAUAACUCCGGGAAACCGGGGCUAAUACCGGAUGGUUGUCUGAACCGCAUGGUUCAGACAUAAAAGGUGGCUUCGGCUACCACUUACAGAUGGACCCGCGGCGCAUUAGCUAGUUGGUGAGGUAACGGCUCACCAAGGCGACGAUGCGUAGCCGACCUGAGAGGGUGAUCGGCCACACUGGGACUGAGACACGGCCCAGACUCCUACGGGAGGCAGCAGUAGGGAAUCUUCCGCAAUGGACGAAAGUCUGACGGAGCAACGCCGCGUGAGUGAUGAAGGUUUUCGGAUCGUAAAGCUCUGUUGUUAGGGAAGAACAAGUGCCGUUCAAAUAGGGCGGCACCUUGACGGUACCUAACCAGAAAGCCACGGCUAACUACGUGCCAGCAGCCGCGGUAAUACGUAGGUGGCAAGCGUUGUCCGGAAUUAUUGGGCGUAAAGGGCUCGCAGGCGGUUUCUUAAGUCUGAUGUGAAAGCCCCCGGCUCAACCGGGGAGGGUCAUUGGAAACUGGGGAACUUGAGUGCAGAAGAGGAGAGUGGAAUUCCACGUGUAGCGGUGAAAUGCGUAGAGAUGUGGAGGAACACCAGUGGCGAAGGC
rnacentral:rRNA from 1 species